AACAAGAACCAGAUGAACUCAGCCCUAAAUCCUCCGGAUCGCCUCAAAUUUCCCUUUUUCUCCUUCGAUUCCGUACAUUCAAGCGUGCUUAGCACGAGCACAACGACAUUAUCCUCUCAAUUUCCCUUUUUCUUUUGCCAACUUUUGUUCAAAAAUGGUACGAAUUCGUACACUGCCUAGUUGGCAAUCCUUAUCCGCUCAAGGAUUUUUGAAAUUUCUCAAGUCCCACAUCGAAUUCCAUCUUCAAAUUCAACUCGUUAUUUGUCCUAUAUAAACCCAUUUCCUCUUACUGUUCAAGGGGAGUUUUUUUUUUUAGGAGGCGAAGAAAAGAGCACCCCGCUAAGUUUUUGGGAGUUCUUAUUUUCGUUUCUGAAAUUCUAUUGAUUUGCGGCUAUUUUGAGUCAGAGUGGUGGUGGAGUUCGUCACGUUCACUCGAGUCCCAGUCGCUGCCCAGCACCAGAGUGCAAAGCGCAAAGUGCAAAGAAAAGAAAGAGAUGGUGAAAGUAGUAGUGGGGGAAGAAAGUCAGGUCAAAUUAGCUGAAAAUCGGCUUAGCAAAUCUGGAGUCCUUGUCAGGUAGGGCUUGUAAUUGGGAAUUUAAGUGGGAAAUUAGAUCGAGGAUUCAUAUUCGAUUUAGUCCCAACACCGCUGAAUGACAACGGUGAGC